rnacentral:rRNA from 1 species
GACGAACGCUGGCGGCGUGCUUAACACAUGCAAGUCGAACGGAAAGGCCCUGCUUGCAGGGUGCUCGAGUGGCGAACGGGUGAGUAACACGUGGGUGAUCUGCCCCUUACUUUGGGAUAAGCCUGGGAAACUGGGUCUAAUACUGGAUAGGACCAUGCUGUAGGUGGUGUGGUGGAAAGAUUAGUUUCGGUAAGGGAUGAGCUCGCGGCCUAUCAGCUUGUUGGUGGGGUAAUGGCCUACCAAGGCGUCGACGGGUAGCCGGCCUGAGAGGGUGGACGGCAACAUUGGGACUGAGAUACGGCCCAGACUCCUACGGGAGGCAGCAGUGGGGAAUAUUGCACAAUAGGCGCAAGCCUGAUGCAGCGACGCCGCGUGGGGGAUGACGGCCUUCGGGUUGUAAACUCCUUUCAGCCAUGACGAAGCCCUUGUGGUGACGGUAGUGGUAGAAGAAGCACCGGCUAACUACGUG